AGAUGAUGUUGAAUCCAAAGAUUCACGUGCAACCAGAAAAAUUGUUACACAGGUAGUUGAAGAAGAUCUUGGACUGAUAUCUCGAGAAACAAUAAUUGCUCAAUUUGAUAGAUUGGAACUAAUGAUGCACACAAUUACAAGGAGUCUUUUAGAAUUUUUUAGAAGACUAAUGACAGAGCAAAUGUAUUAAACAAAUCAUUUAAAAACAAUUUGGUUUCUAUGUUUGAGGUACAUUUGCAUUUUUUUUUAUAUCUAUUAAAAUGAUUAUAUUUGAA